rnacentral:ncRNA from 1 species
UAAAGGUUUGGUCCCAGCCUUUUUAUUAGUUGAUAGUAAAUUUAUACAUGCAAGUAUCUUCACCCCAGUGAAAAUGCCCUUAAGUCCACCAAGAAUAAAAGGAGCUGGUAUCAAGUUCACUUUUGUAGCUCAUCACACCUUGCUAAGCCACACCCUCACGGGAUACAGCAGUAACAAAAAUUAAGCAAUAAACGAAAGUUUGACUUAGUUAUACUAUAUUUAGAGUUGGUUAACUUCGUGCCAGCCACCGCGGUCAUACGAAUGACUCAAACUAAUAAAUUUCGGCGUAAAGCGUGAUUAGGGUAAAGAAAAAAAAAUAAAAUAAAAAUAUAUCUAUGCUGUAAAAAGCCUAAGAGAAUAGUAUUAUUAACAACGAAAGUGAUUUUAUCAUUUCUGAACUCACGAUAGCUAAGAAACAAACUGGGAUUAGAUACCCCACUAUGCUUAGUCAUAAACUUAGACAAUUAAUAACAAAAUUGUCCGCCAGAGAACUACUAGCUAAAGCUAAAAACUUAAAGGACUUGGCGGUGCUUCAUAUCCACCUAGAGGAGCCUGUUGUAUAAUUGAUAAACCCCACUAUACCUUACCAUUACUUGCCAAACCAGUCUAUAUACCGCCAUCUUCAGCAAACCCUAAAAAGGUAAAAAUAGUAAGCCAAAUGAUAUUUACAUAAAAACGUUAGGUCAAGGUGUAACUUAUGUAAUGGGAACUAAUGGGCUACAUUUUCUAAUUAUUAGAACACCCGAUUUAAACGGAUAUUUUAAUGAAAUCUUAAAAUUAAAGGAGGAUUUAGCAGUAAACUAAGAAUAGAGAGCUUAGUUGAAUAAGGCUAUGAAGCGCGCACACACCGCCCGUCACCCUCCUCAACCUACAAAAGUAUACCUAAAUUAUUACUAAUCAAUUUAAGAGGAGACAAGUCGUAACAAGGUAAGCAUACUGGAAAGUGUGCUUG